CAAUUAUGAUUUGAUGUAGUAAACAUUGUCACAUUAAGAAGGCUAAUAUGUUAAACUUAUACAUUAAGAAACCAAGUAACAUGUAUAUGUAUAUAUCAUUUUAAUUCAAAGACAUGCAUUUGGAGUUUUUCAACCCAUCCUAUAAUGUUCAAAGCAAAUUUAACUAUUUUUUCAUGUAUCCAUCAAAUAGGUGUCAUGUUUCUAAUAAAAGUAGCUCUACAUUAAUUUCACAAUUUGUUUUGUUUUUCAUAACUUUAACAUAUCUUUGUCUAUAUAAACUGUAAUUUUCUUUAUUUCUUUUUUUCAUGGUCAUUUUUUUAAAACAACAUAUUAUGACAUCAAUAUAUUAUAUUUUAGAAUUUUAGAUUUAAAAAAAUCUCAAAUCUCAAUACAUUACAAUUUAAGUUAAUAUAAUUAAUCAUUAAAAAACUGCAUAUUCUCUUGUUUUAGUGUUUAAAACGUAUUUUUAAUUUAUAAAAAAGAGUAUAAAAUAAGUAAAUCAAUCUACCAAUGUUUAUUUGGUGUAGUAAACACUGUCACAUUAAGAAGGCUAUUAUGUUAAAGAAAUACAUUAGGUGGGUAAGUAAUAUGUAUAUGUAUAUAUCAUUUUAAUUCAAAGACAUGCAUUUAGAGUGUUUCAACCCAUCCUUUAUUGUUCAAAGCAAACUUAGCUAUUUUUUCAUGUAUCCAUCAAAUAGGUUUCGUUUUUAAUAAAAGUAGUUCUACGUUAUUUUCACAAUUUCUUUUGUUUUUCAUAACUGUAACACAUCUUUGUGUAUAUAAACUAUUAUUUUGUUUAUUUCUUUUUUUCAUGUUCAUUUUUUUAAAAUAACAUAUUAUGAUAUCAAUAUAUUAUAUUUUAGAAUUUUAGAUUUUAAAAAACUCAAAUAUCAUUA
rnacentral:lncRNA from 1 species